ensembl:lncRNA
AUUUCUACCUAUGUUUAGUCUAAACAUUAUUUAUUUGAACAACCCUGUUAGAUCAGGUAGUCUUUAGUUUACUGUAAUGUCAUUUUGGUAUUUCUUCCCUUGGCUCUGGAUAAUUUAAUCACCUGUAGGGAAAUAAACAAAUACAUAAAAAGGAAUGGAAAAAAAGAGAUAUAUUAAAUCUAUCUAGUAAAUAUUACCUGGAUUGAUCACCAGAUUGGAUGUAUUUUAAUAAGCAAUCUUAUUAAUGUCUUGAAUUUUGUGCAUUUAUUAAGAAAACAAUUAAUAUAUCCAGGGAGAAUUUUCACGAGUCAGUCAUUCUAUGAUGCUUCUGAAAUGUUUUUUUGAAAAUAGAUUCACAUUAGCAGGUAUCAGGUUGUUUGAGCACCAUCCUUGAAGAAGGAAAAUGAUCAACAUUCCUCAAACAGUAACCAAUUUUGGACAGCAUUCAUAGAAAAAGGAGGUAGUGCCAAACACAUUUCAUGGGAGACUGGAAACACUUCUGUUCAGCAACAACGUUUUUACCUAGCUUCCUCAACUCAGGUUAACCUGAUCCCACUGUUGGUAGCUUGUGUUUAUCUUUUGCAGUGAUUGAAUCUGCCAGACUUCUCACUACCCACAUCUUCUUUCUACCUUUGAAUCACGUACCCACGAUGACAUGAAAAAAUUGAGCAACUGGGCACCCAAGUUUGGGAGAAUUUUCUUUCCCAAGCUUUGCAGGGGGAAGUCAUACAUGCUUCGCUGCUAUGAUCCUUCCUUCCUCAGACUGGGGCUUCCUCACGGUUCUGGUGACUCAGACACCUGGCCCGUCUGAGAGCUGUGAAGCAUCAUGGGAAAUCACCUGUGAGGAGCUCUAUCAAAGUAAACAACCAAGCUUCAGCUAAAAUGUAAGUUCCCAUGAGGGUGAGAAAUUGGGUCUGUCUUGUUUUCAGGGGAAUCUUAAUUGUCCAGAGUUUAACCUAAAACAGUAGUGCACAAUAUACAUUAUUGUAAUGAGAGAAUUCUAUUUCAUAUGAAUGGGAUGUCAAUUUUGAUUUCCCAUGAAAUUCCAGACAGCCAUGACCUGGCAUUGUGUCUGAACUGCUACUCGAUUUAGAAUAGUUGGCCAGGAGCCGGCCAUCUUUUGGUGUCUCGCUACCUAGACUAUAAGCUAUUCUCGGGGAAGGGCUGGAUCUUGGCCUCUUGAGGAAAUACUACCUCCCAUGACCUGGAGGUAUAUAUACUGAAUACAUGCUUAACUCCACUUUGAGGGAUUACUUUUGUCUAAAUUACCAAGUCAUUUUUACAGUUAAUUUUAUUUUUGUUGAAGUAUAGUUGAUUUACAAUGUUGUGUCAAUUUCAGCUGUACAGCAAAAUGACUCAUUUAUUCACAUAUAUACAUUCUUUUUUAUAUUAUUUUCCAUCAUGGUCUAUGCCGGGAGACUGGACGUAGUUCCCUGUGCUAUGCAGUAGGACCUCGCUAUUUAUCCAUUCUAAAUGUAGUAGUUUGCAUCUACUAACCAACCCAAACCACCAGGCCACUCCAGUACCCCCCCCACCUUGGCAACAACAAGUCUGUCCUCUGUCUAUGAGUCUGUCUCUGUUUUAUAAGGACACAAUAGAAUUUAGACAAUGUGGUCUGUACACAGUAGCAUAAGCAAUAGUUUCUUUAAAAGCAAAGUCUAAAAUGCCAUUGUCCUAAUCUACAAUCCAGUGGGCAGAAUGUUGGUUUAAAAAAAAAAAAAGUUCCUGUUGUGUCUCAGCUAUAAUGAACCCUAACCCAACCAGUAUCCAUGAGGACUCAGAUUCGAUCCCUGGCCCCACUCAGUGGGUUA